GGGUAAUGGCUCACCAAGGCGACGAUCCGUAACUGGUCUGAGAGGAUGAUCAGUCACACUGGAACUGAGACACGGUCCAGACUCCUACGGGAGGCAGCAGUGGGGAAUAUUGGACAAUGGGCGAAAGCCUGAUCCAGCCAUGCCGCGUGUGUGAAGAAGGUCUUCGGAUUGUAAAGCACUUUAAGUUGGGAGGAAGGGCAGUAAAUUAAUACUUUGCUGUUUUGACGUUACCGACAGAAUAAGCACCGGCUAACUCUGUGCCAGCAGCCGCGGUAAUACAGAGGGUGCAAGCGUUAAUCGGAAUUACUGGGCGUAAAGC
rnacentral:rRNA from 1 species